rnacentral:rRNA from 1 species
GGGGUGCAGCAGGCGCGAAAACUUUACAAUGCUGGAAACAGCGAUAAGGGGACCUCGAGUGCCAGGUUACAAAUCUGGCUGUCGUGAUGCCUAAAAAGCAUUGCAUAGCAAGGGCCGGGCAAGACCGGUGCCAGCCGCCGCGGUAACACCGGCGGCUCGAGUGGUAACCGUUAUUAUUGGGUCUAAAGGGUCUGUAGCCGGCCGGAUAAGUCUCUUGGGAAAUCCAGCAGCUCAACUGUUGGGCUUUCAGGAGAUACUGUCUGGCUCGAGGCCGGGAGAGGUGAGAGGUACUUCAGGGGUAGGGGUGAAAUCUUGUAAUCCUUGAAGGACCACCAGUGGCGAAGGCGUCUCACCAGAACGGACCUGACGGCAAGGGACGAAAGCUAGGGGCACGAACCGGAUUAGAUACCCGGGUAGUCCUAGCCGUAAACGAUACUCGCUAGGUGUCGGCCACGGUGCGACCGUUGUCGGUGCCGUAGGGAAGCCGUGAAGCGAGCCACCUGGGAAGUACGGCCGCAAGGCUGAAACUUAAAGGAAUUGGCGGGGGAGCAC